AUUGAACGCUGGCGGCAUGCCUUACACAUGCAAGUCGAACGGCAGCACGGGAGCAAUCCUGGUGGCGAGUGGCGAACGGGUGAGUAAUAUAUCGGAACGUGCCCAGUCGUGGGGGAUAACGCAGCGAAAGCUGUGCUAAUACCGCAUACGAUCUAAGGAUGAAAGCGGGGGAUCGCAAGACCUCGCGCGAUUGGAGCGGCCGAUAUCGGAUUAGCUAGUUGGUGGGGUAAAGGCCCACCAAGGCGACGAUCUGUAGCUGGUCUGAGAGGACGACCAGGCACACUGGAACUGAGACACGGUCCAGACUCCUACGGGAGGCAGCAGUGGGGAAUUUUGGACAAUGGGCGCAAGCCUGAUCCAGCAAUGCCGCGUGCAGGAUGAAGGCCUUCGGGUUGUAGACUGCUUUUGUACAGAACGAAAAGGUUUCUACUAAUACUAGGAGCUCAUGACGGUACUGUAAGAAUAAGCACCGGCUAACUACGUGCCAGCCGCCGCAGUAA
rnacentral:rRNA from 1 species